AAUCUUUUCUGGAGAUCCCUCUUCUGGAGUUUUGCAGUGAGCCUGGGAUGUGGGUUACUGUUGAAGAUGCUGAAGAGCACUGGGCCCCAGAUGGACCACUGGUGGAUACCAUUUUUCACCAGCCUCAACCUGGACACAGAUUGGCUGACCACAACACUGGCUGCAACAAUUCAAUCAAUGUAUUGCCUGCUGCAUAUGCCACUCUUUUAAAUUCAUAUAUUUCCAAUUUAGAUAUAAAAGUUAUUGAAUCAGAUUAAAAGAAAAUGCUGGUU